rnacentral:rRNA from 1 species
GAUGAACGCUGGCGGCGUGCCUAACACAUGCAAGUCGAGCGAUCUUCUUCGGAAGAGAGCGGCGGACGGGUGAGUAACGCGUGGGUAACCUGCCUCAUACACAUGGAUAACAUACCGAAAGGUAUGCUAAUACAAGAUGAUAUAAGAGAUUCGCAUGGAUUUCUUAUCAAAGCUUUUGCGGUAUGAGAUGGACCCGCGUCUGAUUAGCUAGUUGGUAAGGUAACGGCUUACUAAGGCGACGAUCAGUAGCCGACCUGAGAGGGUGAUCGGCCACAUUGGAACUGAGACACGGUCCAAACUCCUACGGGAGGCAGCAGUGGGGAAUAUUGCACAAUGGGCGAAAGCCUGAUGCAGCAACGCCGCGUGAGCGAUGAAGGCCUUCGGGUCGUAAAGCUCUGUCCUCAAGGAAGAUAAUGACGGUACUUGAGGAGGAAGCCCCGGCUAACUACGUGCCAGCAGCCGCCGCGGUAA